CGGAGGUUGCUCAGACCUUCUGCGCAGGCCUUAGGCUGCUGCCCGCCGGCCCACACUCCAGACUGCCUCUCCCCGGCCACUGCCUCCCGCCUGGGCUGGCACCCUCGCUCCUUGCCCUGGGUCCCAGCCUGUGUCCUCCGCCGCGGCAGGGCUGCUGAGGGGCCAGCAGACACCAGGGCCCGCCCUCCCAUCACUGAGCCCCACUCCUUCCUCAUUUUGCUGCUGAUUCUCGCCCCAAACAAACAGGUCGAGCCUUUCCUCCCGUUGGCAGCUGGUCUCGGGCUUGUGGCUGCCUUCUGAGCUUGGAGUGCUGCAGACGCUCUGCUCCUGGCGCCUGGCCCUGGGGCGGGCCUGUGGCAGGAGAGCCAGCUGUGCGCAGCAGAUGCCUGAGGAUGAUGUCCCAGCUGCUGUUCAGAGAUGCCUUUUGGUGCAGGGACUUCACGGCCCACACAGGCUACGAGGUGCUGCUGCAGCGGCUGCUGGACGGCAGGAAGAUGUGCAAGGACACAGAGGAGCUGCUGCGGCAGAGGGCCCAGGCGGAGGAGCGGUACGGGAAGGAGCUGGUGCAGAUCGCGCGGAAGGCGGGCGGCCACACGGAGAUCAACUCCCUAAGGACAUCCUUUGACUCCUUGAAGCAGCAAAUGGAGAACGUGGGCAGCUCACACAUCCAGCUGGCCCUGACCCUGCGGGAGGAGCUGCGCAGCCUGGAGGAGUUCCGGGAGAGGCAGAAGGAGCAGAGGAAGAAGUAUGAGGCUGUCAUGGACCGCAUCCAGAAGAGCAAGCUGUCACUCUACAAGAAGGCCAUGGAGGGAAGGGCUGUGCAGCCCCAAGUCACGGCUCCACCCCAGUGCAAGAAGACUUACGAGCAGAAGUGCCGGGACGCCGACGACGCCGAGCAGGCCUUCGAGCGCGUCAGUGCCGGCGGCCACCAGAAGCAGGCAGAGAAGAGCCAGAACAAAGCCAAGCAGUGCAAGGAUGCGGCCACGGAGGCAGAGCGGGUGUACAGGCAAAGCAUCGAGCAGCUGGAGAAGGUGCGGGGCGAGUGGGAGCAGGAGCACAGGACCACCUGUGAGCUAACUCCCACCUCCCAGGCCUUCCAGCUGCAGGAGUUUGACCGGCUGACCAUUCUCCGCAACGCCCUGUGGGUGCACUGCAACCAGCUCUCCAUGCAGUGCGUCAAGGACGACGAGCUCUAUGAGGAAGUGCGGCUGACGCUGGAAGGCUGCCGGGUGGACGCCGACAUUGACAGCUUCAUCCAGGCCAAGAGCACGGGCACAGAGCCCCCGGCUCCAGUGCCCUACCAGAACUACUAUGACCGGGAGGUCACCCCGUCGUCUGGCAGCCCUGGCGUGCCACCGUCCUGUGGCAUGAUGAAGAGGUUCUCCGGGCUGUUGCAUGGAAGUCCCAAGACCUCGAUGGCAGCUCCUGCUGCCUCCACAGAGACCCUGACCCCCAGCCUCGAGAGGAACGAGGGCGUCUACGCAGCCGUGGCCGUGCAGGAGACACAGGGAAACCCGGCUGCGCCAGCCCAGGACUACCGCGCGCUCUACGACUACACCGCGCAGAAUCCUGACGAGCUGGACAUCUCUGCUGGGGACGUCCUGGAGGUCAUCCUGGAAGGGGAGGAUGGCUGGUGGACAGUGGAACGGAAUGGGCAGCGUGGCUUUGUCCCUGGCUCCUACCUGGAGAAGCUCUGAGGAAGGAGCAGCAGCCACCCCCACUGGCCCUGCCUGUGGAGUCGGUAGUGUCCCCACCCGCCUGGCCUUUCUGGGGCCCAGAACCGAGCCUCCCCAACCCUAGGAGGGGAUGGGUGCUGGCUGCGCCUCGAGGAGUCUCUCCCAUUAGGAAUAAAGGCUUUCUCCAUUCUCCCGUGCACCAGGUCACAACCUCAGCUGCUGGGAAUCCACUGCACAGAAGGACGGCCUUCCCAGCAGAGAGAUGGUGCCAGAUGGAGAGGGAGUAUGUGACUGGGUGUACAAAUAACUGCAGCCUCUUCCUGACAAGGGACAAAGACAGCACAGGGCAGGAGGGAAAGCACAGUUUCUGAAUCAGAACAUCAGGGUCCAAAUCCAGGCUCACCCUUCCCUGGGUGGUCUUAGGCAAGUCUCAAUUUCUCUAGUUCUAAGUUUCACCAUCAGUAAGAUAGGUGCAAUAUGCCCAUACAAGUUUCUAUCCCCAUAAGGUUCAAAUUAGAUAACAGUUAAGUGCUAAUUAAAAGCAAGGGAUACCACUUUUAACAAAAAGGCCACAACCUCCUAAUCUUGGCCAUAAUCAACAGCAGCUUUGAGCUUAGCAUGAGGAUCACCCUCGAUCCUCAUGCUUCUGGGACAGCUGUGGUUGUCACGGCCCUCACCUGAGUCCUUCUGAUGGUAAGGAGGAGCAGCAAUUCACCAUCUGGCUAAACUGGACACACACACACCAGCAGUGCCAACACCUAAUUCUGACCAUGGCCCCACAGCCAUUCCUAGGCCAAGUGGGCUCAACGUAAGAGUUACCUGUUUGGCUCAGUCCGGCUGCACCUGAUGUCUGCCUCUCUCCCCACCCGGCACGGGAACCAGCAGCACCAGCCCAGAGCAAGGUCAGCACCGGCAAGUAGGCUCCAUGUCCUCAGCACCCUCAUGGGAUUAUCAGCACCAUAGGGACACGGCCCGCUCCAUUCAAGCUCUACUCAUAGAAUUUACAUACUGGACUAGCAGUGGUUCUCAACCCUGGCUACUCAAUGGAAUAAGCUUUUAAAAAUGCUGUUUGUCCUACCUUAGACAAACAGAAACUGAAUCUCUGCAAGCUGAGCUUUUGCAUAAAUAUUUCAAACCUCUUCCUGGUGAUUCUAAUAUGUGGCCAGACUUGAGAAUGACCUGGCUAAUGGGUUCUCCAGCUAAAAUUUUAAAAAGUUUGAAAACCAUAUUCUUAUGGCACUAUAGUGACUUAUUUCAGAUCAUUAGUGUCCACUAUUUUCCAGAUGCUAGAAGAUGCAAAGAUAACUGUCUUUCUACUCUAUAAUCUCCCUGUCUUACUCUUCAUUGGAUAAACUCAGGAGAGCAGGAUCUGUGUAUGAGUCAACUUCCCAACAGCUAGCAACACGCCCAGCACUGUCCAGACAGGCAUUCGUAGAUAAACUUAGGGGGUUUCUGCAAGGUCACUGAACAGCACCCUCAGGAGAUCUCAGAGACACCGUAUAAAAAGCCACGUAGAACACACACGUUAUUUUCAAGAACUGCAAGGAUGCUGGAUAUGAAACCAACACAUCCAAAAAAUACAUGCUGCUAUACACUAACAAUAACCAAUUAGGAAAUGUAUCAGGAAAAUUAUUCCAUUCAAUUAGCUACAGGAAUUAAGUUUCACAAAACAAUUUCCUAAGUAAACUCUGUUAAGAUCUGAAAGAAAAAAACCCAAAACCAGUCAAACUGGGCAGAGGAUAGAAACUGAAAAUUCAGAAGCUACAAAUGGCUGAAACACCUCAAAAACACAUCCUGGGCUUAGCUAAUAGUCAAAUAUAUUCGUGAGCAGCCUGGGCAACAGCAAGACCUUGUCUCUACAAAAAAAUUAAUAAAAGAUUAGCCAGGUGUGGUGGUACAA